rfam:Candidatus Staskawiczbacteria bacterium RIFCSPHIGHO2_01_FTLL_36_16 rifcsphigho2_01_scaffold_3375, whole genome shotgun sequence.
GGGCGCGUAGUUAAGUGGUAUAACAUCUCUCUGAUAAAGAGAAGGCCGAAGGUUCGAUUCCUUCCGCGCCCA